GCGACGGCACUCACAGCCCUCCGCGCGCUCGAGGUGCUUGACACCGGCUCGAGCGGCCCGUCUGGCUCCUCAGCUGUCAUUUAAAAUGUAAAGCGAAUGAAAAUAGAUACACAGGCAUCCUCAAUUAGCACGACUGAAGACAUUUUGUGCCGUUUUCCCCCCUGUUCUUUUUAUGAAGCGGUAUUAGUCAUGAAAGGACGCCGUGUUUUUCUAAAAGAUCCAGAUGCAGAGAGGAGUCAGGAGCAGAGUUGUUUUUAAUCACCAGGGACGGCAGGAGUCGACUUCCUCUGAAGUUUGACCGUAAAGGUGAUUUAAACCAAACAGCUAAACAAGGGAAGUUGCACAUUCCUGUGCAAACAGAUCCAAUAUUUCCUUUCGCAGGGGAGGUUAACAGCAGACAGGAUAUGCAAUAUUUCAUAUGAAAUUGGAAACAGGCCCGCUUGAGCAAAACCAGGGCCUCUAGUAAACCAGACUGCAGGAGAGGGUCUCGUAAACAUGAGGCAUGGAUUAUUCCAGAAUAGGCCCGGGGUCAGAGAUGCAGUUGGAAGGCGCUGGCAAAGGGCAUCGAAUUAUUAAGACUGGAGGUAAAAGCCUGUCAUGGUCUGUAUGUGUACGCCCUCAUUUGUGGAGUACGGAUUUGGCCAGCCUCACCCCCGCAGUGCAGCCAAGUCCCUAUCUCACCCCCGCAGAAGCCAAAGCAUCAAACCUCCUCCACGUCUGCGGCGUCUGUACCCUCCAGCCACCUCCCCAACACUCACUCCUCUACCACACCUUCUCUCCGCUCACAUAAUCAUCUUCCUAGCCUUCUGGUCAUCUGUGGAUCCUAUUUUUGUAUUUGGUAUUUGGUACCCGGGUGCUUUUCUUCUUCCAAAAUAGGCAAUUUAGUUCAUGUAACAGCUAUGAAUCAUGAUUUGCUACUUUCUAUUGCUAAUCAGAUUUACUUUUCAGUAAGUGUAUUUGACCCUGUCUGUGAAAUCCAGACUAAAGUCUCAUAAUCUAAUUUUGAGAUUAAGCACUGUAAAAAAAGGAGGUUCAACUUAAAAAAGUAAGUUAUCUAAUUGCCUUAAAGGUGGUGUGUGUACAUUUUAGCGGCAUCUAAUGGUCAGAUUGUAAAUUGCAACCAACAGCUCACCCCUUAAUUUCAAAAUGCAUAUGGUAGCCGUCACAGGACAAAUAUGUUGUCAUCUGAGACAACGUAGGGACAAAACCCGCUCGGUAGUGCAGUUUGUCCGUUUAGGGCUACUGUACAAACAUAACAGCGACUUCCAUAUAAGGGGACCCACAGUGUAUGUAUUUAAAAACGGCUCAUUCUAAUGUGGCAUUCACACCAGACGCAGCACAGGCGGCAAGCGCGAGUGAUUUACAUGUUAAGUCAAUGCAAAGACGUGAAUAGGCAUCGUGUGUGUUCCGCGCGAAUUGAGCGUUGCCGCGUGAAAAGCGCAAGUCGAAAAAUCUGAACUUUGGCGGAUAUAUGCUCUGGUAGUGACGUGAUUCAGG